GUUUUCUCUCUCUCUCUGUCUCUAUCUCUCUGUCUCUCUCUCCUCCCCUGUCUCCCUCACAUGAAGAGUUCUAUAGCAGGAGGGAAACAGCUCAGCUUCCUAACGGCUAACAUCUCAUUGUGACCCUGUGCCCUCUACACUAGUCAGACUCUCACAGGGAGAGUAUGAUGAGCUUUCACCCUAGCAGAGCAUCUUUACCCCUCAUCUUCCUCCUUCCCCACUCCCUCUCAGGAUUCCUGUGUCACCCUUAGUAUGUCUGCAUCCUUCGCCCUCAACUUGGAUCUGCCCAGGAGGAAACCAUGAUCACUGCCUGUUCACCAAGUCUCAUGAAGACCCCCAGAUACCCAAGUUUGAAGACCCCAGGAAUUGGCCUUUACCUAGUGGAGGGGCCCCAAGUGAGAAGCAUGCAGCAUCUUCCAAGCUUUUCACAGUACUCACAUUCUAUGCCACUGGUCUUGCAAUGAGGCCCAGACAUAAACUUGUCCUCUUCUCCAAGGAGCAGGAAGAAACACAAAGCAUAUUAAUUUGUUCCAUGUAGAUUAUCUGGUGAAAGGAUUCCAGUUGUCUCUCUGACUCAUUUUAUAUGGACUGUGGUACAUCUGAUCUGACCAUAAGCACACACCUAUGAGUGAAUUGUGUGCCUUCUGGCAAAACCCAUUAAGAUCUAAAGUUGUGAAAAUGCAAUGUAGCUUUUAUGAGGUAUUAUGUUAUUAUUUGAAUUUCCCCAUUACAAGAUAUUACACAUUCUGAACAUUU